UAUUCAAGGAUAUUUGAGGAGAGGUUAUCCGUGUUAUGUUCGCUUCAUUCAUCAUGAAUAAUACAUGGUUAACCUCUUUUUGAAUAUCAGACUC
ensembl:miRNA MIR655 microRNA mir-655